GACGAACGCUGGCGGCGUGCUUAACACAUGCAAGUCGAACGGAAAGGCCCUGCUUUUGUGGGGUGCUCGAGUGGCGAACGGGCGAGUAACACGUGAGUAACCUGCCCUUGACUUUGGGAUAACUUCAGGAAACUGGGGCUAAUACCGGAUAGGAGCUCCUGCUGCAUGAUGGGGGUUGGAAAGUUUCGGCGGUUGGGGAUGGACUCGCGGCUUAUCAGCUUGUUGGUGGGGUAGUGGCUUACCAAGGCUUUGACGGGUAGCCGGCCUGAGAGGGUGACCGGCCACAUUGGGACUGAGAUACGGCCCAGACUCCUACGGGAGGCAGCAGUGGGGAAUAUUGCACAAUGGGCGGAAGCCUGAUGCAGCAACGCCGCGUGCGGGAUGACGGCCUUCGGGUUGUAAACCGCUUUCGCCUGUGACGAAGCGUGAGUGACGGUAAUGGGUAAAGAAGCACCGGCUAACUACGUG
rnacentral:rRNA from 1 species